rnacentral:rRNA from 1 species
UGGGGAAUAUUGCACAAUGGAGGGAACUCUGAUGCAGCGACGCCGCGUGAACGAAGAAGGCUUUCGAGUCGUAAAGUUCUUUUAUAUGGGAAGAUAAUGACGGUACCAUGAGAAGAAGCCCCGGCUAACUACGUGCCAGCAGCCGCGGUAAUACGUAGGGGGCUAGCGUUGUCCGGAAUCACUGGGCGUAAAGGGUUCGCAGGCGGAAAUGCAAGUCAGGUGUAAAAGGCAGUAGCUUAACUACUGUAAGCAUUUGAAACUGCAUAUCUUGAGAAGAGUAGAGGUAAGUGGAAUUUUUAGUGUAGCGGUGAAAUGCGUAGAUAUUAAAAAGAAUACCGGUGGCGAAGGCGACUUACUGGGCUCAUUCUGACGCUGAGGAACGAAAGCGUGGGUAGCAAACAGG